UACGAGGGGGGCAAGCGUUGUUCGGAAUUAUUGGGCGUAAAGGGCGCGUAGGCGGUGCGGUAAGUCACCUGUGAAACCUCUGGGCUUAACUCAGAGCCUGCAGGCGAAACUGCCGUGCUGGAGUAUGGGAGAGGUGCGUGGAAUUCCCGGUGUAGCGGUGAAAUGCGUAGAUAUCGGUCAGAACACCAGUGGCGAAGGCGGCACUCUGGCCCAGGACUGACGCUGAGACGCGAAAGCGUGGGGAGCGAACGGA
rnacentral:rRNA from 1 species